rnacentral:rRNA from 1 species
AGCGAACGCUGGCGGCAGGCUUAACACAUGCAAGUCGAACGCUCGUAGCAAUACGAGAGUGGCAGACGGGAGAGUAACACGUGGGAACGUGCCCUUCAGUUCGGAACAACCAAGGGAAACUUUGGCUAAUACCGGAUACGUCCGUAAGGAGAAAGAUUUAUCGCUGAAGGAUCGGCCCGCGUCUGAUUAGCUAGUUGGUGAGGUAACGGCCCACCAAGGCUACGAUCAGUAGCUGGUCUGAGAGGAUGAUCAGCCUCACUGGGACUGAGACACGGCCCAGACUCCUACGGGAGGCAGCAGUGGGGAAUCUUGGACAAUGGGCGCAAGCCUGAUCCAGCCAUGCCGCGUGGGUGAUGAAGGCCCUAGGGUUGUAAAGCCCUUUCGGCGGGGAAGAUAAUGACGGUACCCGCAGAAGAAGCCCCGGCUAACUUCGUGCCAGCCGCCGCCGUAAGAC